rnacentral:lncRNA from 1 species
UUCAAGAAUCCUUUUUAAAUCUACAAGUUUUCAGAUUCAUGAUUUACAUGCGCAAAUUGGAUUGUAUUGAUGUUUGUUCUAUUGUAUAGGUUUCAAUUCAAGAUUUAAUUAUAAGUUUCAUGAACAUAAGAUAGCACGUAUGUUGAUUGAUGUAAUUCCCAUGUUAUAACUUUGAACUUGUAAUUUUAAGUUGUAGCCAUGAU